UACAUGUGGGGCAAGCGUUGUUCGGAAUUACUGGGCAUAAAGGGUGCGUAGGCGGUUUGUUAAGUCACUGGUGAAAGUUUUCGGCCCAACCGGAAAAUUGCCUGUGGUACUGGCGAACUUGAGUGCGUGAGGGGUGGGGGGAACGAGCAGUGUAGCGGUGAAAUGCGUAGAUAUUGCUCGGAAGGCCGGAGCCGAAGGGGCCCCACUGGUACGUAACUGACGCUGAGGCACGAAAGCGUGGGGAGCAAACAGG
rnacentral:rRNA from 1 species